GAAACACCCACGGUCUAGGGUCUUGUUAAUAGGUGAUUAAGUCAAUUGCCGCUAAUUUCAAGAAACCCAUUAGGUUUUUCAGGAUUGCUGCUUAAGCCAAGGACCCAGUGACAGCUGAGGUCAUCGGUAGAAGAGGUUGGAUUACUCGAGAAAAUGAAAAUGGGGAAGUGUUUUUACUCCUAUUUGCGCAAAGUUUAGACAACAAAAAAAUAAGAAUCUAACUGCAAGAACUUUUUAUUACACAAGAACAAUUUGCUAAACCCUAAGGGAUUCUCAUGAUCUACUGCAUGGUUUUCUCCAGGCCUGACUGAUUCUGUCUGGAUGGUGGAGUCCAGCUGCAUCUUUGGAGGCUGGCCACCAUUAUCACCUUAUCUGUGCUGGUCUGUGAUCAUGUGCUAUACAAGUACCUGUGAAGUGUAAUCUCUUCAUUCUAACAGUCGGCCAAAAUGUUACCAGGUUCUGUCAGCGGCAGAUUGUUCACAUUGUGAUCUCAUUUCUUCUUUGUGCUGACUUGAUCUGUUGUCUGUACAGGAAGUUUCUACCCCCAAAAUGUAUUUAGCUGUCCACGGGCCAUAUUUUACCUCUCUAAAAAUUUCAUCCAAAGCCAUUCAUUACUUUUUGAGUUAUUCCGUGAGCAAACCAACCAACAAGCAAAUGGCGGUAAAAACAUUACGGAGGUAUCAAAGGAACAACCAUACAAAAGUACAAAAUGUGCUCUCUGUUCCUCCCUGUUCACAAGAGUAACCCUUUUCAGAUGACCCCACCAGUCCCAGUUCACCAAUAAGUGGAGAUCUCUGAACUCCUGUCCAUUCUGAUUUUUCCAUCCUGGUGUUUCCCUGACAACCAGAGGGACCAUUUCAAUUACCUAUGUUUCUGGCGAGGCCAGGUCAUGCCGUGCUGCUGCCCAGGAGACGAAACUGCACUUAAGGAGGGGUGAGAUGAGAGCAAUUGGGUUAGGUUUUCAUGGUGAAGGAGGGUAGAAAUGGGCAGACUUCACUGUCCAGAGCAGAUGAUAAUACUGUUGCAUAUUGUUUGUUUUUUGGAUUGAGUCAGUGUCUUACCAGCAUCUCCACAUCUCCAGUACUUGCUGAACCUCAGCACUUCAGCAUCUUAUACUACAUUAGUGAUGUGUGUGGGGGUCAUGUCUAAGAGUUGUGAAACACAUCACCAUCCCUCACUUACUUACUGGGAAACUAUCCAUUAAUAGACACCUAGGUGGACAUUUUCUUUUAGUGUGUGCACUUGUUUAGGGCUUGAUAUAUAUGGCUUAGGAGUUUAUUCCAGUAUGCUUUUAUCCUUUUCUGUUCAAUUGACUUCUGUCAUGUUAAUUAAGUCCAUUAGAGACCUGAUUGGAUUAUUAGGCUCUCUAACACAUGCACAGUCAUGGAUGUUGACAUUCCAUUAGUGAUACUGGAUCAAAUUAUUAAUGUGUGGUGUUAUAGCAGAUCACAUUACAAUUUUACUUUAGUGUGCAGUCAGCUUUCUGGACAUUAAAAUCAAGUACACCCUGACUGUAUUGCAAUCCUUUUAUAUUUUCAAAAACCAUUAUUGUUUUAUGUAGCUUUAAUGCCAAGAGCCAAGAAGGCUGGCCAGCACCCAAGCAGAAGUGUAUACAUUAAUGCGGACUGUGCAUAGAUUUCCAGCCAGACAGUUUAAUGAAUGGGGAUGAGCAUUUCUAGGCAGAGCUGAUACAGUUGAAGUGCUACUCAUAUGGUCUCUAGGGAGCUGGCUGUUAUACAUGAGUAGACUCAUUGUUCUUGUUUUUUACAGUAAUAUGUGAAGAAAUGUUUUGUUUUGCUUGAUGACAUCAACUGCAUUAAGUGUG